rnacentral:lncRNA from 1 species
UUUGUUCUGCGUACAAUGCUGUCGGGAUAUCUGGUCCGAUCGAAAAUGUCGAACAUUAAAAAACUGGCGUCAAUACACGGACUAACAAAUAAUCUUAAAAUUGUGCACAUAUGUCGGUACAAAUUUUCUAAUAUAUAAGUUUUCAAAUAACCAGUCUAAUUUUAAAUAGUUGUGAUAUAUUUUCUAGACUUCUUAAAAAUGACCAGAUACAUAUACACAUAUUUUCUUCUAAGUUGAUUGUGGUGAUUUUUUUUUCCAUUUUCCUCUUCUUUAAAUGAACGAUUUAUAUAUAUAUUUUUUUUCAGCUCUAUGCAUUGAUCCUUCAAAUCAUAAUAAUUACCUGCUGUACUGUUCAGUAUUUGACAAGGGUCACAAAUCCAUGAAUAUUUACAAUGUCGUCCACACAGUCCACUUGCAGUAUGUGGCUUUGGCAUUUUCCCUGCAUCAUAUCCAACAAGACACUCCGGAGAAGCACAGAAUGAACAAUUAGUUUGUUUAACAAGAAGAAUACAAAUCAGUAAAGGAAAAAUGUAAUGAAACACAUAACAUACAUUUAUCUUAUGACAGAAUCCUCGAGGGUUUAUGUAAUUUUGUUUAAAUAAAUCCAUUUUAACACGUUGAAAUGAUUAAUCGCUAUUGUCACAUUGGAUACUUCUGUAGAGUUAUAAACAAAAUAGUUCAAUCCAGUGCAGUUGUUUAUUUUAUAUAUACAUUUAGGAGUACGUGUAUUUUGAAAUAUAAUACACAAAUAUGUAAAUAAACA